rnacentral:rRNA from 1 species
UACGGAGGGUGCGAGCGUUAAUCGGAAUGACUGGGCGUAAAGGGCAUGUAGGCGGAUAGUUAAGUUAGAUGUGAAAGCCCCGGGCUCAACCUGGGAAUUGCAUUUAAAACUGGUUAUCUGGAGUAUUGUAGAGGAAGGUAGAAUUCCAUGUGUAGCGGUGAAAUGCGUAGAGAUGUGGAGGAAUACCGGUGGCGAAGGCGGCCUUCUGGACAAAUACUGACGCUGAGAUGCGAAAGCGUGGGGAGCAAAC